rnacentral:rRNA from 1 species
UACGUAGGGUGCAAGCGUUGUCCGGAAUUAUUGGGCGUAAAGAGCUCGUAGGCGGUCUGUCACGUCGGCUGUGAAAUCCCGAGGCUCAACCUCGGGUCUGCAGUCGAUACGGGCAAACUAGAGUAUUGCAGGGGAGACUGGAAUUCCUGGUGUAGCGGUGAAAUGCGCAGAUAUCAGGAGGAACACCGGUGGCGAAGGCGGAUCUCUGGGCCAUUACUGACGCUGAGGAGCGAAAGCGUGGGGAGCGAACAGG